rnacentral:lncRNA from 1 species
GUUCACAGACCGUGAAGAAGCUCCACCCCAAACACAGAGGCACUGCUUGCUUUGGCCCCAAAACCCUGGUGCAGGACCUAGGGGACGUAGGGCGGCAGGACGAACAUUGGCCCGGCCCUCGCCUCCUCCUGUGACCCCGCAACCCCUCACCUCCCGCGGGGAGAAGAGGCGUAAGGUGAGUGUAGAGCUGGGCCCGGAGGAAAGCUAGGCCCUCCAAGAAUGUGGGGUCUUCGCCCUUGAAAAAGCGGGUCUUCCAGAUGACGCCGUGGCAGAAAGCGCCAGAGCCCCAGCCUUCCUGCCCCGCCCUGCGCUGCGCCCUCCCCCAGCCCUCCUCCUCUUCCCGCCCCGGGCGAAAGCAGAAGUGUCCGAAAGUUGGGAGGAAAUGGCCCCGGAGCUCCCGGGGUUUCCAGCUCGCCUGCGGAGCGCGGGGCUCCAGUGCGGCGCGCUCGGGGCCGCCAGGGGGCGCUGUGGGGCGGGCCUGCCGCCGGGGGCGCGGCUGUUGCGCCCAAGGGAGAGCCGUCGCUGCCAGCCUUAGAUUUCUUUAGGAAGGGACAAAGUGAUCUGGAGCCCAGGGCUGGGAGAGGCUCUUCGGGCUCCCACCUUCAGGCAGGAUUAAUGUCGAGCCCUGAAGGCGGGGUCUCUGUCCCGCCCGCCGCUGCACUCCCAGCUCCUGGAACAGUGAAUAACAGGGGCCAUAUUCACCAAAUACUGACUGAGCGACAACAGCAGGAAAUGUCCUAAGUCCCGGUGAUGAAUCAGUGAACAAACAAAGCCUCUGCCCUAGUGAGGUUCCUAUUCUCCCCUGCGGGGAUGGGGAAAACGAUAAGCAAAACAGAAGUGUAAAUGCAUGUACGGUGAGGAUAGAUGCUGUGGAGAAAAACUAAGCGGGAUAAGGAGGGUGAGGAAUGCAUGGUGCGGUGGAGACAGGAAGGUCAGGGAAGGCUCUGAUCGGAGAGGGACGCUUCAGCAGAUCCCUCCAGGAAGGGGCGAGUCAGCUAGGAACCGAAAAAUAAGGAACACUUCAACGUGUUAAAUGAAUGAGUUUUAGAGGCAAGAUGCCACACUGAGCAAUGGCCCCUCUGGUGUGACCUGUCCUCCCUCUCUCCACACCUGUCUGCUCCCCUUCAUCCAUCCAUUCAUCCAUCCAGCCGUCCCACAGGCACCUACCUGCUCCAUGCUGGACCUUAUGUGGGGUAUAUUUCAUUUCCAUAUCCCCUACACCCAGGGAUAUGGAAAUGAAAAAGACACACUCCUGCCAGGUGCGGUGGCUCACGCCUGUAAUCACAACGCUUUAGGAGGCCAAGGCGGACGGAUCACAAGGUCAGGAGUUGGAGACCAGCCUGACUAACAUGGAGAAACCCCGUCUCUACUAAAAAUACAAAAAUUAGCCAGGCGUGGUGGCGCACGCCUGUUAUCCCAGCUACUCGGGAGGCUGAAGCAGGAGAAUCGCUUGAACCCAGGAGGCAGAGAUCGCAGUGAGCCAAGAUUGCGCCACUGCACUUCAGCCUGGGCAACAGAGUGAGACUCCGUCUCAAAAAAAAGAAAAGAAAAAGACACUCCUGGCUGGGCGCAGUGGCUCACGCCUAUAAUCCUAGCACUUUGGGAGGCCGAGGCGGGCGGAUCACGAGGUCAGGAGAUUGAGACCAUCCUGGCUAACUCGGUGAAACCCCGUCUCUACUAAAAAUACAAAAAAUUAGCCAGGCGUGGUGGCAGGCACCUGUAGUCCCAGCUACUCGGGAGGCUGAGGCAAGAGAAUGGCGUGAACCAGGGAGGCGGAGCUUGCAGUGAGCCGAGAUCGUGCCACUGCACUCCAGCGUGGGCAACACAUCAAGACUCCGUCUCAAAAAAAAAAAAGAAAAAAAAAAAAGAAAAAGACAUACUCCUUGAAGAGAAAAAGGGCCUCACUCUUACUCUGGUGGUACCAGAGAAUGGCAUAGCCCUUUGGGAGAGUAAUUGGACAGCAUCUCACUUUUAAAUAUGGCCACCCUUUGCACCCAAAGCCCCAGGCUGGGACUUGCAGCCAGGAAUUGCACAGUGGUCAGGCAGGCCCACUGACUGGAACUAGAACGUGGAUUUUAACUCCAACCCCGUCUCUUAUCAGCUCUAAAACCCUGAACAUGCCAUUUAUCUGUCUGCCUCAGCUUUCACAUCUGUAAAAUUAAGCUAAUAAAAAUAUCUAAUUAAUCGGAGUUUUGAGCUAAUACAUUGCAAAGGGCAGGGCAGACACAUAGAAAGUGUUCAAUACAUGUUAGCUACUAUUGUUAGCUCAGGCAAGGGUUUGGGCAGAAGUGCAAUUUGUCUUUUUUUUUCUUUUUUUCUUUUUUUUUUUCUUGAGACAGGGUCUCACUCUGUCGUCCAGGCUGGAGUGCGGUGGUGCCAUCUCAGCUCACUGCAACCUCCAUCUCCGAGGUUCAAGAGAUUCUCCCACCUCUGCCUCCCCAGUAGCUGGGACUACAGGCGCCUGCCAUCACACCCAACCAAUUUUUGUAUUUUUUGUUAGAGGUGGAGUUUCACCCAUGUUGGCCAGGCUGGUCUCAAACUCCUGACCUCAAGUAAUCCUCCCGCCUCAGCCUCCCAAAAUGCUGGGAUUAUAGGCAUGAGCCACCGUGACUGCCCCAAAUGCUCUUUGCAAAAUUAUCUGCAUAGCGCCAUCCCGAGGCAACCUCAAUAAAGUUCCAUCAAUAGGGAAAUGAAUCCAAUUAUGGUCUAUCCAUACUAUAGAAGAAAAUGUAAUUUUAAGAAGAUUGUGUUAAUGGGAGACAAUUUGAGACCCAUAUCAGCAAGUCAGACCAAAUGUGAAAAAGCAGUGAGUCCUGUGGAACAUUGGGAUAUGUGACAUAGGGAGGACUGGAGGGGACUUGGCCUCUGGGGGCCUCUGUUUCUCCAAUGAGAGACAAUUUGAGCUGUUAUCUGAACAGUCAGUCAAUACUAAUCAACUUUUUUAAAUGCACACAUCUUUUAACCCAACAGUUCUACUUUUAGGAGCUUAUUCAACAGUUACACUUGCACAUUUGCACAAAGAAUCAUAAAAAAAGGUUUGUGGCAGUGCUGUCAAAGGCAAGAACAACCUAAAUGUCCAUCAACACAGGAAUUGUUAAAAAAUUAUGAUGUAUCCAUCCAGUGAAAGCUUAUGUAGCCUUUAAAGUUAUCAAAGCAGGUCUAGAUGUGCGGAUGUAGGAAAAUUACAUGUAAAAUCGUCUUCAAUUUAAAAAAAAAAGACAAAGAAAAGCUUAGGUACUCACAAUAAGAGUCAUGAAAACUUUUGAGAGGGCAGGGGGCUGCUCUGGGGACCCCCAAGGAGAUAGCCUCCGAUAAUGGUGAGUCCUGAAGGUAGAACACCCCCUCAUUCUGCUUUGUUUCUUCUCUCCACCCUCAGUGCCCAGGACAGGACAGGACAGGACAAGUACUUAUUGAGCGCCACAGAGAGAGAAAGAAGAUAGGACAGGCUCUUGGGGCUCUGAGGCUCACAACAAACAAAAUGUGAUGGGGCAGCCCCUUGGAGUAACUCCAAGUCUGAGCUCAGCAGAGCUACAAGACUUCUGGAUGUGCAGAGCCCAAGUUUCCCAUCAUUUCAUCCCUGCUAGUGCUCUGGGCUGGGCUGAAGCAGCUUGUUCUGCUAGAUUUGGAACAAACACAAGCGCCUAGAGGAGACCGAGCAACACAUACUGAUCCUAUCAGGCCUAGCUGAGCCCAAGAGUUUCCUAGCUUUGCCCCAUCUAACCAUACUCUUUCAGGCGUCUUAUCUGGUUCCUGUAAGUCUUGGCCCCCAGUCCAUCUCCAUGCAAGCAAAAAUCCCUUGGACCCCGAAAGCUAAUGAAAUUUUAAAAAUAAAAAAAUUAAAUUAAAAACAGAAGAAAUCCGAAAAAAAAACUGAGAUCUACAAUCUCACAAAGAAAUAAAAGAAUAUGAAAUUGCUACUAUUCAACGAUUAGUUUUACCUUAAAAACGGCAGCUUUAUAUGGCUAAUCUUAAUGAAUUAAAACAACUUUGAGAUAUUAUUUUUAUCCUUUCAUACUGGCAAAGAUUAAAAAGGUUUGUUAACAUCUUGAAUCAGCAAAACUCUGGAGAAACAGGCACAUUAAGGGCAGAAGACAAACUUGUACCAUCCCUAUGAAAGGUGAUUUUGGCAAUUAACUGUUAAAUGACAAAUCUAAAUACCCUUUGGCCUAGCUAUUCCACUGCUAGAAGUUUAUUCUACAGAUAUACUCACAUACCUGGAAUGUACACAGUUAUUAAUUACGACAUUGUUUGUAAUCACAGAGAAUAAGAAAAAACCAAGCACCUAUCAAUUGGUGGACUGGUUAAAUAAAUUAUAGUACAUUCUCUCUUUCUUUCUCUCUCUCUCUCACACACACAGACACACACAAAAAUUAUCCAUAAAAAUUAAAUAAGAAAUCUCUUUAGGGGCCAGGUACGGUGGCUCAUGCCUAUAAUCCCAGCAUUUUGGGAAGCCAAGGCAGGCAGAUCACCUGAGGUCAAGAGUUCGAGACCAGCCUGGCCAAUAUGGUGAAACACCGUCUCUACUAAAAAUACAAAAAAUUAGCCUGGCAUGGUGGCGCACGCCUGUAAUUCCAACUACUCGGGAGGCUGAGACACGAGAAUUACUUGAACUCAGGAGGUGGAGGUUGCAGUGAGCCAAGAUGGCACCACUGCACUCCAGCCUGGACAACAGAGCAAGACUCUGUCUCAAAAAAGAAAAAAGAAAUCUCUUUACGUACUGAUUUGAAAUGCUUUCUAAGAUCUAAUCUCAUCUGUAUGCAAAUUUUUAAAAACAUGCACACAAGGUACAGAACAAUGUGUAUAGUAUGUUACCAUCUGGGUAAAAAAGGUGUGUUAUGGUAUCUAAAAAAUUGAAAACAUUUGUUGUAGAGGGGAACUUGGAUAGCUGGAAAAUAGAAGUAGGAAGGAGACUUUUCAUUAAAAUGCUGUUUUGUGCCUCUUGAAUUUUGAAUCUUCUGAAUAAUUGCCCAGUCAAAACAAACAGCAAACAAAGCACACCGGAGGAAACAAUGAAGCUUUCCAGAGUGGAAAGCCAGGAACCUGGAGCUUAGAGGCAACCUGAGGAGGCAAAACUAAUCCAAGUGGGGUAGAGGGAGAUUGCCACAAGGCCAUAGCUCACCUAAGCCAGGGAAGAGGAGUAGCCCCAUUACCAUCAGUCCCAAUGACCCACUCUGUGCUUCCUGUCCCCGCGACUCUAGGCUUUGCAAGGUUAGAGACCCUAGUCCCCGAAGGCGCUGCACUCUUGCCAGGGGACACAACAAGGGUCCUAUUGAAUUACAAACUAUAGCUACUCACCAGUGUCUAGCUGAUGAGAGAAGGAGUCCCCAUAACAGCAUGAGUAAUUGAUGGCAAUCUCAGAUCACUGCAGCCUCCGCCCCCGACUCGCCUGACCCCGCCACCCACUCCAUCUUGGGUUCAAGCGAUUCUCCUGCCUCAGCCUCCCAAGUAGCUGGGACUACAGGGGCACACCACCACGUCCGGCUAAUUUUUGUAUUUUUUGUAGAGAUGGGGUUCUCGCUAUGCUGCCCAGGCUGGUCUCCAACUCCUGGGCUCAAGGUAUCUGCCCCCACUUGGGCUCCCAAAGUGCUGAGAUGACAAGCGUGAGCCACUGCACCUUUCCCCCGCAUUGCAAUUGUGAAUGGACAUGUGUAGUAACCCCAGUCUAAGAAGGGUAUAAUUACCAAGGGUCACUCCACCGCGUAAGCUACAACCAGCAAAAGUGAUCCAUGAGGGUGAGGGGGAUUGAGUAGAUAGUGGAGGAGGGAGAAGAUAAGUACCAGUUACAACCAUGAGAUCAGCUGCAGCAAUGGGGGCUGUAGCUGUCCAACUAGUUAGAAAAAGAGGCCUUGAGGAACCACAGAGGAACUUCUCCCUGGACCUGUGUGGAAAGGCAUGUUCAUGCAAUACCAGCAGGUGAACUGAAGCAACCAUGAGAAUGUGCCUCUCAGAUCUCACCUGCAGGGAGCAUAUUUCACCAAUGGUCCUGUGUGUGCUCUGAAAUCUGUCAGAGCACAGGCUGCUCCCAGUCAAUGUCUGAGCAUUGUGGGAACACUGUACCCAGGAGAUGUAGGACUCUUCUCAGAGGCAGUUUUGGCUCAAAGACUCCCCCUCAAAAGUGAUGCCAAAACUUUCUUAGAAUUGCACUGCACUGUAAGAUUCUUCCCGUCUAACUUGCCUUCCUUCCUUCCUCCCCUCUCUUCUCCAUCAUAGCCUGAUGCUCUCCCAGGCUUCACCAGCUUCCUUUCCAUUUUCCCUUUCAGGCCUUUUCUCAGUAAAUCUCUUGAGGUCUAACCCAAUCUUGGCAUCUACUUUUUGGAAGACCGGCACUAACACAAAAGCUACUGCUAUUGUGUAUAAAAGUGAGUUCCAAGCUUCCCGGAAGUCAAAGGAAAAAUAUUACUGUAUAGUAUUCAUUAGUGUUCUUCAUCAAACACUUGUAGUUCCCCCACUUCCAGGCACCUUGAUAUGAUUGAUUCCUUGAAUUGGAUAGGGCCAUGUGACUAGAUAUGUUGCUUUAAGUUAGUAAGAUUUGGGGAGGCCAGGCACGGUGGCUCACGCCUGUAAUCCCAGCACUUUAGGAGGCCAAGGCAGGCUGAUCACUUGAGCCCAGGAGUUCGAGACCAGCCUGGCCAACAUGGUAAAACCCUCUCUCUACUAAAAACACAAAGAAAUUAGCCGGGCAUGGCAGCACAAGCCUGUAAUCCUAGCUACUCAGGAGGCUGAGGCACAAUAAUCAUUUGAAUCCGGGAGGCAGAGGUUGCAGUGAGCCAAGAUUGCACCACUGCACUCCAGCCUGGGUGACAGAAGAGUCUCUGCCUGAAGAAAAAAAAAAAAAAAGGUGGGAGAAAUCCUUUUUGUAACCAUAACCCAGACUUUCCUGACUAAUGUACAUUGGUUCCUAUUAUCUAAUUCAGUGUUUGCCAAUAGCAAUGCUAUAGACAUUUUGAAUCAGAUAAUUCUUGGCUAUAGGGACUGUACUAUGCACGUAGGAUGUUUUAGCAACAUCCCCGGCCUCUACCCACUAGAUAACUGUAGUAAGACUUUCACAGUUGUGACAACCAAAAAUGUCUUCAGACAUUGCAAAAUACCCACUGCUGGACAAAAUCGCCACCAGUUAAGAACUACUCACGUAAUGAAGAGCAGUAAAAUCUUUCUUCAAAAAGAGAUCAAGAGGCCGGGCCCAGUGGCUCACACCUGUAAUUCCAGCACUUUGGGAAGCUAAGGCAAGAGGAUUGUUUGAGACCAGGAGUUCAAGACCAGCCUGGGCAAAUGGUGAAUCUCUGUCUCUACAAAAAAAUACAAAAAAAUGGCUGGGCACGGUGGCUCACGCCUGUAAUCCCAGCACUUUGGGAGGCUGAGGCAGGCGGAUCACCUGAGGUCGGGAGUUCGAGACCAGCCUGACCAACAUGGUGAAACCCUGUCUCUACUAAAAAUACAACAUUAGCCGGGCGUGGUGGCACAUGACUGUAAUCCCAGCUACUCGGGAGGCUGAGGCAGGAGAAUCGCUUGAACCUGGGAGGCUGAGGUUGUGGUGAGCCAAGACAGGGCCACUGCACUCCAGCCUGGGCAACAGGAGAGAAACUUUGUCUAAAAAAAAAAUUAGCCAGGCAUGGUGGUGUGUGUCUGUAGUCCCAGCUACUUGGAAGGCUGAGGUGGGAGGAUUGCUUGAGCUGAGGAGGUGAACGGUCCAGUGAGCCAAGACAGUGCCACUGCACUUCAGCCUGGGUGACAGAGCCAGACCCUGUCUCAAAUAAAUAAAUAAGAUCAAAUUUACAAUGGAAUCAUAUAAAAUGCUCAAUUAAAAUCAGAAAAGGCAGAAAAAGAAGGAAGAGGAUAUAACAAGUAGAAAACAGCUACAAACAUGGUGAAUAUUAAACUGCAAUGGGUAGGGAAGUCCUCCUGGGCCUGGGAACCAAAGGGUGGAAGCAGGGGUGGCCUAUAUCAAUAAUCACUUUAAAGGUGAAUGGUCUCAAGAGAAUGAGAUGACAAGCCACAGACUGGGAGGAAAUAUUUGGAAUUCUGUACUUUUAGCUCAGUUUUACUGAAAACCUAAAAUUGCUCUAACAAAGUCUAUUUUUAAAAUAUUUUUGAAAUGUGACUAGCCUAAAUACACAAAAUAAAAGACAGAGAUUAUCAGAAUGGGCAAAAUAACCUACAGCUAGCAUUAUAGUUAGUAGUAAAAAAUUGGAUGCCUUCCCCCUAAAAUUGGGAAUAAGGCAAGGAUUUUCUCUCUUACCACUCUUACUCAACAUUGUAUUAGAUGUCCCGGCUACUGUGAUAGGCCAAGAAGAGGAACCAAAUGCAGAUUGCGAAGGAGCUGCAGAUGACAUGACUGUCUAUGCAGAAAAUCCCAAAUAAUUGACAAAACAACUUCAGGAACUAAUAAAUAAAUAUAGCAAGGUCGUAGUUCACACUGAUAUAAAUAAACAAUUAAAUGAGAGAGAAGUGAUAAAUCUUCUUUGCAGAAGAAUUCUAAAUAAUAUAUAUAGUCCAGGCACAGUGGCUCAUGUCUGUAAUCCCAGCACUUUGGGAGGCUGAGGCAGGAGGAGUACAGGAGUUUGAGACCAGCCUGGGCAACAUAGUGAGACCUCGUCUCUACAAAAAAUAAACAAAAUUAGCCAGCAUGGUGCCACACACCUGUAGUCCCAGCAACUCAGGAGACUGAGGUGGGAGGACUGCUUGAGAUUGGGAGGUCGAGGCUGCAGUGAGCCAAGAUCACGCUACUGCACUCCAGUCUGGGCAACAGAGAAAGACCCUGUCUCCAAAAAAUAAUAAUAAUAAUUUAAAAAUUAGGCCAGACGUGGUGGCUCAUGCCUGUAAUCCCAGCACUUUGGGAGGCCGAGGUGGGCGGAUCACAAGGUCAGGAAAUCGAGACCAUCCUGGCUAACACGGUGAAACCCCGUCUCUACUAGAAAAUACAAAAAAUUAGCCGGGCGUGGUGGCAGGCACCUGUAGUCCCAGCUACUCGGGAGGCUGAGGCAGGAGAAUGGCGUGAACCAGGGAGGCAGAGCUUGCAGUGAGCCGAGAUCGUGCCACUGCACUCUAGCCUGGGCGACAGAGUGAGACUCUGUCUCAAAAAAAAAAAAAAAAUUAAAAAUUAAUGUAUAUAGAUACUCCCCUAUUGUUAUAGAUUUAACUGUGUUCUACAAAAAGAUAUGUUAUAGCCUAAACCCUGGUACCUGUGACCUUAUUUGGAUAGGGUCUUUGCAGGUAGAAUCAAGUUAAAAUGAGAUAUUUAGUGUGAGCCCUAACCCAGUACGACUGAUGUCAUUAUAAGAAGAGGAGAGCCACAGACAAAGACAAAGAGAACAGAAGGAGAGCGUCAUGUGCCCACAGAGGCAGAGAGUGGAGUGAUGAUGUGUCUGUAAGGCCAAGGGUUGCCAGCGGCACCAGAAAUUAAGUUGUCCCCGAAGUUCAUGUGUUGGAAACUUAAUCCCUAGUAUACCAGUGUUGAAAGAUGAGAUCUUUAAGAGAUUGCUAGGUCAUGAGGGCUCUGCCCUCAUCAAUAAAUUAAUACCAUAUUGUGGGAGUUGGUUAGGUAUCUUGGAAGCGGGUUCCAGAUAAAAUAAUAAAUUUGACCCCCAUUCCCUUCUCUCUCUCAAGCAUAUUCUCUUGUCUUUCUGCCUUCCACAAUGGAAUGAGCAGCAAGAAGGCCUUCAGCAGAUGCAGUGCCCUUGAACGUGGCCUUCCCAGCCUCCAGAACUGUAACAAAUAAGUCUAUGUUCUUCGUAGAUUACCCAGUCUCAGGUAUUCUGUUAUAGCAACAUAAAGUGAACUAAGACAGAAGACAUGGAUCAAAUUCUCCCCUAGAACCUUCAGAGAGGGCAUAGCCCUGCUGACAUUUUGAUUUCAGACUUCUAGCCUCUAGAACAAGGGUUCCAACCCCUGGGCUGAGGACCAAUACCAGUCCAUGCCUUGUUAGGAACCGAGCUGCAAAGCAGGAGGUAAGUAGCAGGUGAAUGAGCAUUGCCUGAGCUCUGCAUCCUGUCGGAUCAGUGACAGCAUUUGAUUCUUUUGGGACCGUGAACCCUAUUGUGAACCGCACAUGCAAGGGAUCUAGGUUGCACACACCUCAUGAGAAUCUAACUAAUGCCUGAUGAUCUGAGGUGGAACAGUUUCAUCCCAAAACCAUCCCCCAGUCCCCACAUCUGUGGGAAAACUGUCUUCCAUGAAACUGGUCCCUGGUACCAGAAAGGUUGAGGACUGCUGCUCUAGAACCAUGAGAGAACACAUUUCUGUUCUUUUAAGCCACCAGUUUGUGUACUUUGUCACCAUUGCCUUAGGAAGCUGACAUACUCCUCAAGGAGGUGGAACAUAACUCCCACACUUAAGGAGUGGGCAUAGUGACUUCCUUCCAAAAAGAACACUGUGGAAAGGGCGAAAAAAAAGUAACUUUACAGUAGCGAAACCUGAUGAAGCCAGGUGACCAAACUCAACAUCAACAGUGAUGACUCAUGUUGAUUGUAUGUACCUUGAUAUGAUGUGAUGAAUAUGUGGUCUUCCUCCCAAAAACCUAUAACCACCAGCCAGGCACGGUGGAUCACGCCCUGUAAUCCCAGCACUUUGGGAGGCCAAGGCAGGUGGAUCAUCUGAGGUCAGGAGUUCGAGACCAGCCCGGCCAACGUGGUGAAACCCUGUCUCUACUAAAAAUGCAAAAAUUAGCUGGGUGUGGUGGCGGGAGCCUGUAAUCCCAGCUACUCAGGAGGCUGAGGUAGGAGGUUGCAGUGAGCCAAGAUCCCGCCACUGCACUCCAGCCUGGGUAACAGAGCGAGACUCUGUCUCAAAAAAAAAAAAAAAUAGCCAAGUGUGGUGGGGGACACCUGUAAUCCCAGCUACUUGGGAGGCUGAGGCAGGAGAAUCACUUGAACCCAGGAGGCAGAGGUUGCAGUGAGCCAAGAUUGCACCACUGCCCUCCAGCCUGGGCAACAGAGUGAAAUGUGAAACUCCAUCUCCAAAAAAAAAAACAUCCAUAACCCCAGUCUAAAUGUGAGAAAAACAUUGAAAACAUUGGACAGAUUCCAAUGGAAGAGCAUUCUACAAAAUACGAGACCAAUAUUCAUCAAAACUGUCAAGGUUAUCAAAACCAAGGAGAAUCCGAGAAACCACCCCAAGCCAACAGGAGCCUAAGGAGACAUGAUAACUAGAUGCAGUGUGAUACACUGAAUGGUAUCCGGGAUUACAAAAAGGACAUUAGGUGAAGAUUAAGGAAAUCGGCUGGGCGCAGUGGCUCACGCCUGUAAUCCCAGCACUUUGGGAGGCCAAGGCGGGCGGAUCACGAGGUCAGGAGUUCAAGACCAGCCUGACCAACAUGGUGAAACCCGUUUCUACUAAAAACACAAAAAUUAGCCGCGCAUAGUGGCAUGGAUCUGUAAUCUUGGCUACUCAGGAGGCUGAGGCAGGAGAAUCACUUGAAACUGGGAAGUGGAGGUUGCAGUGAGCCAACAUCGCACCACUGCACUCCAGCCUGGGUGACAGAGCAAGACUCCAGCUCAAAAAAAAAAAAAAAUACUUAAGAAAAUCUGGGCCAGGUGCAGUGGCUCACACCUAUAAUCCCAGAACUUUGGAAGGCCAAGGCAGGAGGAUUACUUGAGCCCAGGAGUUUGAAUUUACAAUGAGCCAUGAUCAUGUCACUGCACUCCAACCUGGCUGACAGAGGAAGGUCCUGUCCCUAAAUUUAAAAAUAAAUAAAUAAAUCUGAAUAAACUGUGGACUUCAUUUAUAAUCAUUGGUCAAUAUUGGUUAAUUAAUUGGAACAAAUGGACCAUACUAACAUAAGAUUAAUAAUAGGAAUAAUAGGAGAAACAGAGUGGAGUAAAGGGGUAACUAUAUGUUCAAUUUUUUCUUUUUUUUUUUUUUUUUUUUUGAGAUGGAGUUUCACUCUGUUCACCCAGGCUGGAGUUCAGUGGUUUGAUCUCGGCUCACUGCAACCUCUGCCUUCUGGAUUCAAGUGAUUCUUCUGCUUCAGCCUCCUAAGUAGCUGGGACUACAGGUGCACGCCACCACACCCAGCUAAUUUUUGUAUUUUAAGUAGAGAUGGGGUUUCACCAUGUUGGCCAGGCUGGUCUUGAACUCCUGAACUCAAGUGAUCCACCCGCCUGAGCCUCCCAAAGUACUGGGAUUACAGGUGUGAGCCACAACGCCUGGCCUAUAUCUUCAAUUUUUAUAUAAGUCUAAACAGUUCCAUAAAAUAAAAUCUGCUUCAAAUUUUUUUUUUUUUUGAGACAGAGUCUUGCUCUGUGGGUCAGGUUGGAGUGCAGUGGCACAGUCUUGGCCACUGCAACCUCCGUCUCCCCGGCUCAAGCAAUUCACCUGCCUCAUCCUCCGAAGUAGCUGGGAUUACAGGCAUGUGCCACCAUGCCUGGCUAAUUUUUGUAUUUUUAGUAGAGACGAGGUUUCACCAUGUUGGCCAGGCUGGUCUUGAACUCCUGACCUCAGGUAAUCCACCCGCCUCGGCCUCCCAAAGUGCCAGGAUUACAGGUAUGAACCACUGCACCCAGCUUCAAAAUUUUUUAAGAUUAAAAAAAAAAAAAAACCAGUGUUGCAAAGAUGUCAAUAUUCCUCCAAAAUGCUAUAAAAGUUAACUUUUUUUUAAGAGAACAAAUUUAUUAUGGUGCUUACUCUACGACAAUUUGCCAUUUGAUCUUCAUAUCAUUGCUGGUGGGCAUCAUAAUGGACUUUUUUUUUCCAUUGUAAUUCUGUGUUCUUUGUGGCAGAACUGUUUCCUAUGUGAAUGCCUCACUUGAUGAUCUUGGUUGAAGAUGAGGGUAUGUGGUUAUGUCAUUAUUCCCUGAAUGAUUGUUUGCAGUGUGCUGCAGGUAAAGAGCUUCGUAAUAGAGGUGUCCUUCAGGGAGGCCCUCAGGUUUCCUGAACAAGACCCACAGAAAGGCUGCAUCUGAUUGGGCUCACCAUGCCUUAAGAUCUAGAAUCCAUUUCUACAAAUUCAAACCCUUAGUUCUGUCCCUUUUGCCCAGAGCUGAUAUACCUAUAGAAGGCAGGUCCCCUGACUGAGCUCCACAGGCAGAUGUAGAAGCCAGAACCAACCCUGUAAGAGGCCAGAAAACCAAUCUGGUCAGGUGACCCUUCAGGAAAAUACAGAAAGAAUAAUUCCACUAACACAUAAUAUUUGCCAUGUAAACAUUUUUAUUGGCCAGGCACAGUGGCUCACACCUGUAAUCCUAGCACUUUGGGAGGUUGAGGCAGGCAGAUCACUUGAGCCCAGGAGUUUGAGACCAGCCUGGCCAAUUUGGUGAAAUCCUGUCUCUACAAAAAAAAUACAAAAAUUAUCUGGGCGUGGUGGCAUGCACCUGUAGUCCCAGCUACUUGGGAGGCCA